AUAUUAAUUAUUAAUUAAUUAAUAUUCUUUGAACGUUUAACCACAGAAUAUGUUUUAAAUAAAUACUAUGUAAAUGUGUAUUAUUUUAAAUAUAAAUUUAAGGUUUAAACCAAUUAUUUCAAUGCAUAUGUAUUUUGUGAUAGUGUUUUAAUGUUGUAUUUUGGUUAAACAAUUUGAAUUUAAUUAAAAGUAUACUUCAAUCCAAUCAGCAAUAGUAUUAUGUGUAUGACAAUUAGUUUUCAUACUUUUCCGACAACUUUUUUUGUAUAAUUUAUUGUGGCAAUUCGUAGAAUUGGUGUAAUUAAUCAAAAAUAACAGUGAAAUAUAUGACUAGCUCAAUUUGACCAGCAAUUAAUGCAAAUUCAUAUUGCUUUCUACUGGUACCUAUCUGAUGACUAUAAAUUAAUAAAUAAAAUAAAAUUGGAAUAAAAGAAUAAAAUAUACAUAUAUCUAUAUUAUAUUUUAAUCUUUUAACAAACUAAACAAUCUAUUAUGAAAUUUAUUUUAUUUUAUUUCAAAUUCCAAUUGCAUUUAAUAGUACUAACUUUUAAUUUAAAUAUCUAUAACAAUAUUGGAUGAACAAAUACAAAUUGCUGUUUUGGUUAGCCACAGCAUAAUACAGUGAAACUUCUAAUUAACGGUCACCAAAGGGACCAUAAAUAAUGACCGCUAUUUAGAGGUAGCUGUCCUAUAGAGGUGACCAUUAAC